GUGUCAGCAGCCGCGGUAAGACAGAGGGUGCAAACGUUGUUCGGAAUCACUGGGCGUAAAGCGCGUGUAGGCUGCUAUGCAAGUCGGGCGUGAAAUCCCACGGCUCAACCAUGGAAGUGCACUCGAAACUGCAUAGCUGGAGUCCUGGAGAGGAAGGUGGAAUGCUCGGUGUAGAGGUGAAAUUCGUAGAUAUCGAGCGGAACACCGGUGGCGAAGGCGGCCUUCUGGACAGUGACUGACGCUGAAACGCGAAAGCGUGGGGAGCAAACAGGAUUAGAAACCCCGGUAGUCC
rnacentral:rRNA from 1 species